rnacentral:rRNA from 1 species
GGUUGAUCCUGCCGGAGGCCAUUGCUCUUGGGGUCCGAUUUAGCCAUGCUAGUCGCACGGGUUCAGACCCGUGGCAAAUAGCUCAGUAGCACGUGGCCAAUCUACCCUCUGGAACGGCAUACCCUCGGGAAACUGAGGUUAAUCCCGUACACGGCUCCCAACCUGGAAUGGUGGGAGUCAGAAACGCUCCGGCGCCGGAGGAUGAGGCUGCGGCCGAUUAGGUUGACGGUGGGGUAAUGGCCCACCGUGCCGAUAAUCGGUCUGGGUCAUGAGAGUGAGAACCCAGAGACGGACUCUGAGACAAGAUUCCGGGCCCUACGGGGCGCAGCAGGCGCGAAACCUUUACACUGCACGCCAGUGCGAUAAGGGGACCCCAAGUGCGCAGGCAUAGUGCCUGCGCUUUUCUGGACUGUAGGGCGGUCCAGGAACAAGGGCUGGGCAAGACCGGUGCCAGCCGCCGCGGU